CAGAAUCAUGGAUCACUCAGUGAGAUAUAGAUUUAACAGUGGUUUCUUCAAAAAAAUCAUGACAAUUUUCCAAAAAAAAAAAAACUACUUACAUCCAAGCUAUUCACGGUAUUUCACUGCCACCCCAUCUUCACCGCUAUCCUCUGUAUACCAUACCCCAGUGUGAUGGGUCAGUAUCCAGACAGCCAAGUGUGAUUCCUCCUACCACGUCCGAAGAACAUAACCAUAUGAACACUACACUACUUGGCAGCAUCCAUAAACAAUUGUUACUGCCUUCGCUGGGUAUCGUGAAAGAACCUAGACCAGUAAUUGACACGUCAAGCUGCCAGUAGAGCCACAAUAAUACAGUAAAACAGGAAGUGCAGAGCGACCUUAUCAGCCCAUGGGUCACCACACCUCCCGUUUGUGUUAUGAUUUUUAUUAUUUCAAACAUACAACUGACCGUGCUUUGCCCUUAUAGAACUGAUGAACCAGUUCUAAGCAAUUUGGACAGCUAUCUCAGCGAUAUGAUAUCUCACUAUUAGUUUCAGCAUUACUCCUCUAACAAAUACUCAAUCACAACGAUUGUAGGAGGUGAAUUUUGAAAGGUAAUCUGCAGGCUGUGUCUGAUAUCUUUCGCCUGUGAAGAUUAACUUAUCAUAGCCUUUGAAGAAUGUUAAUGUGUUUAGAGGUUGCAUUGAUACAACAAACAAUACUGUUAAGUUACAAAUGUGGUCGAUUGAUAAGACAGACUAUAAACUUGACAUAUCACAUUUAUAUAAUCUCUUGUGCCUAUUAGCUGCACAUGUCUAAAAAUGUUCCAUGCCCGCACAGAGUUCAGAGUGUUUGAAUAUAUUAUCUGGUCCACCAAAUUUGUUCUGGCCUUUCUUCAGUGGUAAUGUUAUUUAAGUUAUUAAUUAAAAUUAGUAUAUUAAUAGCGUUUGGUAGCAGCUGGUUGAAUAGUGGUUAGAGGAGCCACACUGCAACACGAGAAUCAGGCUUGAAACCCAUCUCCUGCUGCAGGACCCUUGAGCAAGAUAAUUAACCUGAACUGAAAGAGUAAGAAUACCCAUCUGAGGAAAUGGGUAAAUCACUCUAUAUUUAAAUGUAAAGUAUAAGCCUAAAUAUAAAUAAAUGCAAAGUAUAAUCCCUGACA
rnacentral:lncRNA from 1 species